UACAGAGGUCUCAAGCGUUGUUCGGAUUCAUUGGGCGUAAAGGGUGCGUAGGUGGCGUGGUAAGUCGGGUGUGAAAUUUCGGAGCUUAACUCCGAAACUGCAUUCGAUACUGCUGUGCUUGAGGACUGGAGAGGAGACUGGAAUUUACGGUGUAGCAGUGAAAUGCGUAGGGAUCGUAAGGAAGACCAGUGGCGAAGGCGGGUCUCUGGACAGUUCCUGACACUGAGGCACGAAGGCCAGGGGAGCAAACGGG
rnacentral:rRNA from 1 species